AAUAGCCCACUUGUUACUAUCUAUACCCAGAGCAUCUACUCCUGGCCGCGCCCACGUGGCUAAGAAUAGCCCCCUGGCUGAACCUGAUGGAACACAAGUUUCCAGGCUGCUGUGACUGUGUAGCGGAACAUCCAAGCAAGAGUACAUGGUUGCCGAGAUUGGAGGCCAGCACAGAGGACAGACGUCAGCCACCUCUGCCUUCCUCCCUUUAUCCUGUGAUGUCUUUCCCUCCUGGCUGCCACCAUAGCCUCAGGAACCAGAACCCUUGGAUGAAAUCUACCUCUCUACCAGUCUCUAUGGUUACCCAGGCCGGCCAGGUGCUCUGGAACAACUCUGACCUCUGAAGACUUCUCUAGGGAACUGAGUUCAAAGGGACAAGCGACAGGGGCACAGAAAUCCACAAACAGCAUCCUCCCUUUUGAGGUUGCUUUUAGAGGUUUUCUGUCCCCAGUGCCUGGGCUGGGAACCACAGCUGCACGUUGGUCCCCUCUGCUGGCCUGUUCAGACCAAGCUCUGAGGUGCAAGCAGAUGGUCACUCAGCCCUGGUGGACUCUCCUCCCUUCAUGUCUCAUGCAUGUGUGUAUCCCUGACCUAACAGUGAACUUCACAAACAUGACAGACAUUUAC
rnacentral:lncRNA from 1 species